CUACAAAUAUGAUAUUUCGAUCUUAUUUGUAAUUUCAAUGAACCUGUCUUACUUUGCACACAUUUACAAAUUUUUUCAAUUAAUUAUAUAUACAUCUGCUCAAACAUUUCGAUCACGUUAAAGACAAAUAUAAAAUGAUCGAGGUGAAUUAAUUGAAUAUGGAGCAUAUGUGCUUAUAUAUUGUCACGACAACUUGGAUAAGUUUCAAAUAAUAUUACAGCUAACUUAUGUGUAGAAAUGGAGUUUAAAUUUAUUUAAGACCAUUAUCUUAGGGCUAUUUGCAAAAAUAGACCACUAUUUUUCGGACUUGUAAAAAUAGGUCAAUUAUUUUAGUUUUUGGUAUUUUUAGACCACAUGUGUAUCCAAUCAAGCUAUUUUGGGCCACAUUUUGACCCCAAAAAGUGGUCUAUAAAUGCUGAAUUGAGCUCAAAUGUGGCCUGAAAAUGUCAAAAAUUAAAAUAAUUGGCCUAUUUUUGCAAAUUCGAAAAAUAGUGGCCUACACUACAAAAAAACGCGUGUUUACCGGCGUAAACUACCGGCGGCGCUUUUGCCGUCGGUACCUAACGGCGGCACGGCGGCGGCAUUUCAGGCGACCCAAACCUUCGAAAUUACCGGCCAGUUACCGACGGCAAACGCGCCGCCGUUAAGUUUUGAAUAUUCAAUAAAACAUUAUUUUAACACAAUUACCGACGGCGUUUUUGCCGUCGCUAGCUAGCGGCGGCAAUUGCCCUCGGUAAUGUCUAAUAUUAGGGCACGCGUAACCUCCUUUUUUCAGUUUUGCGCAAAACAGAUCCCCCCACCCCCCGCCGCUUCUGCUGCUGCCUGCUGCUGCCACCAGCCGACCGCCGCCGUGCCCAGCCGCCCGUUCGACGAUUUCGUUUCGCCGCUUUCUUCACGACACCCGCUGGAAACCACCACCAAUUUGCAAGAAUGAGUGAUAAUCGUAUGUGGAUGUACGCGAGAUACAAUGAUCGUACUGCAUUUGAAACGGGGCUUGAGUUUUUCCUUGAGUGGGCGUUCAAUCAAACGGCGUACACAGAUGGACAAGGUAACAUUAGGUGCCCGUGUAAGAAGUGCAAGAAUCAAGCGUAUUUAGAUGUACCUACGGUCAGAAAUGUGUGUGUAGAUAAAAAAAAUACAAUUAUAAGGUUGUUACAUCCCAAUUCUUGAAUGAAUAAACUAAAAUCAAGGUACGACUAAAAUUAUAGAAAUAAACAAGGGAAGAACCUUGUGAAAUUCAAAUAAUAGGAUAAAAAGUCGUGCAACGCCCUUUGAGUGAAGAAAGAUAGAAAUCCAGUGAUACUAAUCAAUCAACAUUCUAAACCUUAGGAUCCAUGCUUCUAAUAACCAACGUGAAGUAACAUAGUGCUAGAAAUUGAGAAUCUAAACUCAAUAAGAAACAUAAUUUCAGAAUUUAACAUAAAAGUUUUAAGUUAGAGAAACAAAAGAUAAUAAGAGCUAGUGCAACAACGGAAGACAAAAUACGAAGUUGAACCCUAGCCUCAGCUCUGCCCCGUUAGCACCGACCAAUCAACCUGAAAAAUAUUUGAAAAUAUUUUUGAGCUAUGUACUAAUGUACUUAGUGGGCUGCAACUUUUAAAACAUUUCAUAAUUCAUAAGAGCAGUUUAUCCAAUUAUACUUGACAUGACUUAGAAGGUUUUAAAGUGAAAUAACUUCUAAGCAUGUUAAACAUUUUAUAUAUUUGCGCUAACAUUUGCAUGCCUCGAAAUGAUUGCUCAAAAUUGAAAGGCAACAGGCUUCCUCGACAAGAGUUGAAAUCUUUGAAGGAAUCAUACAUUACCUAAGAACAAGUAAAAAGCAUUUGUGACCCAAAAUGUGUACCCCAAACAAACAAUCAAUUGAUGAAAUGAUUUUUUUAUUUCUAAUUGGCAACGACUUGAAACGAAACCAAAACCAAAACCAACAACUCCCCUAAAAGUAGACAAAGACCACAAACAACUGAAUUACUAGAAUGCCCUCGAGGCACCAUUUCUCAAUCAGUAUGUAUAUUAUAUAUUAAAGGGUGUCAUUUCCUCAAUAAGUUGAAUGAAAUUUUAGAAGAAGAAGAAGAAAAAAAAAGAGUCGCAAAUGUCUCUUUGGGGAUGACCUAACCGAACCAUGGUGAGGAUAUUUUUAUAUUUUCUAUCAACACCUUUUAAAUUGUGACAUACCAAAUUUAUCAUAAUAUGUGAAGCAUAGGAGUUGGGUUACGUAAUGUAAUGCAUGACUCAAAUAGCCGGAAUUAAAGAUACCAUGCACUCCUCCUCCGCAUAAACUCAAAUUUUAUAAAAUAUUUAUAAUCAAUUAAUCCUACUUUUUCAGACCCGUUCAAAUAAAAAUCGAUUUCCCUUUACAAUACAGGAUUGUAGAAAUUGU